rnacentral:lncRNA from 1 species
AGCAGCCGAGUUCGCGCCGCCGGUAGGUGCUGCCAUGCCAGGGGGCGGGAUCGUGGAGCGCCUCGCAGAACCGCACGAAAGCAAAAACAAAGCCAUCUCUCCGGAGCAGAAAUAGAACAGACGUGGCCGGGGAAAGCCAAAUAUUUGUGAGAUGAUGUGAACAAAGGGGGAAAAGUCAAUCCAGGGAAGUUUGAGUUUCUGGUUGGAGGCUUCAGCGGCUCUGAUCGCUGGAUACUUUAAGAGAACAUCCUUUGCCCCCGCUCUCCCUCUCUCCCCGAAGAAAAAUAAAUCCUUGGCAAAAUGAGACUUGACGGCAUGAAAAGAAGGUCUCCAGACUGUCCCAGCUGGCGCGGGCGGGGCCGGGGCCGAGGUGCCGCUUGGUGACACUGCAGCCGCGGCUCAGCACUGUCACCCAGAAAGGCCCGCCGACGUCUGUAUGCAGGGAACGUGGCUCUUAGCAGAGCCUGGACAGGCGCAGGGCCAAGGAAGUCUUUGUUUUUGUUUCUUUCUCUAGCCCUUCCUGCCAAUACAUCAGGGAUAUAACUCCUUGGUGUUUCUGCCUUACAAUCGCUCCUUAUACCCCACCCAGAUCCUCAGCACUGCAGCUCCCACUGCCACUGCCCGCUCCUGCCGUCCUGGUGAACACAAUCGAGCAAGGCAGUGAAGCAAACAUCAUUAGGUGGCUGGACUCAGACACAUCACGCUCCAGUUUGGGUUCCAAGGUGCUUCUCUCUGGAUUUUCACCUGCCUUGCCAAAAAUGAUUGAUUACGCUGGGCCAACUGGGUGUCCGGCAAUACCCAACAAAUGACUUUGGCCCCUAACAGCAGGUCUUGGCCAGACAGAAAUCAAUAUUUCACCAUUAAAAUCUAUCAAAGAAGAGUUAAGGCACCAUCUGUCCCUGCCGCCUCUCUAUGGUGUGUGAACAUUAAAUCCGACACUUGUACUACAUGGGUAAUCAAUAUAUAGUGGUUCACAGAUCAUUUGUGGUUCCCUUUUAGCAGUGAUGGAUGUCUGGAAUCGUUGUGAUUCAUUUUGUCAGACCAUUAAACAAGAUUCUGUCCA